UUGGAGGGCAAGUCUGGUGCCAGCAGCCGCGGUAAUUCCAGCUCCAAUAGCGUAUAUUAAAGUUGUUGCAGUUAAAAAGCUCGUAGUUGAAUUUCGGGAUCAGUAGGUUGGUCAUGCCUAUGGUAUGUACUGGCUUUACUGGUUCCUCCUUCGUGAUGAUCUGUAAUAUCAUUAAUUUGGUGUCGCAGGGAGUCAGGACUGUUACUUUGAAAAAAUUAGAGUGUUUAAAGCAGGCAUACGCUUGAAUACAUUAGCAUGGAAUAAUGAAAUAGGACGUUCGAUCCUAUUUUGUUGGUUUCUAGGAUUGACGUAAUGAUUAAUAGGGAUAGUUGGGGGCAUUAGUAUUCAAUUGUCAGAGGUGAAAUUCUUGGAUUUAUUGAAGACUAACUACUGCGAAAGCAUUUGCCAAGGAUGUUUUCAUUAAUCAAGAACGAAAGUUAGGGGAUCGAAGACGAUCAGAUACCGUCGUAGUCUUAACCAUAGACUAUGCCGACUAGGGAUCGGAUGAUGUUAUUUUUAAUGACUCAUUCGGCGCCUUACGGGAAAC
rnacentral:rRNA from 1 species